UACGUAGGGAGCAAGCGUUGUUCGGAUUUACUGGGCGUAAAGGGCGCGUAGGCGGCAAUUCAAGUCAUCUGUGAAAUCUCCGGGCUUAAUUCGGAACUGUCAGAUGAUACUGCUUUGCUAGAGUGCAGAAGGGGCAAUCGGAAUUCUUGGUGUAGCGGUGAAAUGCGUAGAUAUCAAGAGGAACACCUGAGGUGAAGACGGGUUGCUGGGCUGACACUGACGCUGAGGCGCGAAAGCCAGGGGAGCAAACGGG
rnacentral:rRNA from 1 species